CCUGGGUGUGGUGGCACACACCUGUAAUCCCAGCAGCUAGGAAGGCUGAGAUAGGAGGAUUGUGGGCUCAAAGCCAGUCUUAGCAACAGCAAGAUGCUAAGCAACUCAGUGAGACCCUGUCUCUA
rnacentral:sRNA from 1 species